rnacentral:piRNA from 1 species
GGGCACUGGAGAAAGCUAGCUGAGCA